UCCUGAUCACAGCUGCCAGCCAGGCAUUCUGCUUAGUGUAGAGUCCCAUUCGAAAAUGUUUGGUCAAGUCAAGGAAGAUUCACACAUGGUGCACAAUUGCUACAUGGACUAAGGCCAUCAUGGAGACAGGUUGCACAUUGCAUCAACAGCAUUGAAAAAGAAAUCAGCUGAAGGCACCAGACUCUCGAACAUGGAAUGUGAUAUGGGUGUUGCUGACUAGACCAUCCAGCUGAGUCAACCAUGUUGGUAUGACACAGAAUCACAUCUACACCAGACCAGAUAAUAAAGAUUCACUCGAGAAGACCUUGGAAUUUGCUAUCCUUCAUUUUUGAUCUGGUUAACUGAUUUCAAUUGAAGUGUGACAGCUACAAGCUAGAAAGGAAAAAAAGCAAAACAUGCAGCAAACAAAACAGCUAGGACAUCUGAUCUCAAUCACAGCCACCAAAAAGCUGGAGGAUUAGCUGGAAGAUAUUAC